UAAAUGGGUUAUAUACUCUCUUUCUUUCCCUCCUCGUAUUUCUGCUUGAACGGAACAGCUUUAUUAGCCCGUACCAGUUAGUGUGUGUGUGUGAGAGAGAGAGCGAGAGGGAGAGAGAGAGAGAGAGAAGUGUGAAUCCCAUUUUCAUUUUUCACUGGUAGUUGGUCAAUAAAAUAUCAGGGAAUCAUCUUACCUCGUGUGUCUCGACUAUUCUCGAUUCCUGCACUCCUGCUGCAGGUACAGGAUUACGAUCCAUUUUAGAUUCUCUUGGAAACUCGUCGAUGAUUUUACUUCUGCUUCUCUCAGGUUACAAAUUUGGAUAUUGCUCCUGAGAAAUUCGUGGUGGUUUCCAAGUGCGAGCUUUCGGCGUUGGGUACUAAGAGCGUACCAAAGUAAGAUUUACAGUGACGGUUUCGUGAGCACAAGUCUAGAAGCGAGACCCAAAGGGUAGUGGCAAUAUCAAUUUAACAAAUGCAAAGUGAUGGUUCGGAUGGAAGUGGUAUCGCGCUUGGCGCUAACCCAAGUCCAACUAAUCCAACUCACCUCGAGAAACAAAGGAACAAGCAGAAUACAGCUCAGGAUCAGCAGGAGGGAGGAGCCCAAAGUUCAUUGGGAGCGUCUGCGGGCAACGGUGAUCCGACGAUUCUUACCGUUGUGAUCUCCAAUGAGGAAUCGCGUGCUCAGGUCCCUAUGAUUCCAGAGCUCAAUAGUCAUGACUUGAAGACUGUGAGCACCGGCAUGGAUGAAAUAACUGAUCUGGCCACUCCUAAGAAAGAUUGCUUGUCAAGAAGCGAAAGUUCUCACGAACAAUGCAGGUAUUUGGUCUUUCUGUUGCUCUAUUGCUAAGGCACAUGGUGUUAUUAAAUAGAAUUCGGGUGUAUAUCUGCAGUGCUAUCCUUUGAUGCUAUUAUUCCUCCCUACCAUCCCUCAGAUUUUUCUUCCCCCUCGUGUUCACUUUUCUCAUGCCAGGAUCCAUGGAGUACAACCCUCUACGUUGUAGUUGGAACUCAUUGUAUCUGCUGUCAUCGAUUUAUUUACUUUCCUUUU